CGGAAUCCGGGAUCGCCGCACUAGGGUUCCGGCGAGGGUGUAAGCUAGGGUUCCGACGAACUCCACCGCUUGAUCUUCUCCUACCGCUCCUUCUCGAGCUCCUGAUCUAGUUUUCGGCGGUUCGAUCUCUUCGAAGCAGUUCGAUUCAUGUCGCCUCUUCGAUCGCUCGAAGCCUCUCGCUCCUGAGCACUGACGUCCGAGCGUAGAUAGCUGG
rnacentral:misc_RNA from 1 species